ensembl:lncRNA
AUAUGUAACAGGUCAAGUGAUGAUGAGAGCUGUGGGGAGAAUAAAGCAGGGAAAUGGACACAGAGGGGAAGACGGACACUUUUUUCAACCAGGUGGUCAGGGAAACAACACUGAAGCAGAAACCUGGAGGAAGUGAGGGAUUGCAUCACAUAGAAAUCUGGGGCAAGAGUAUUCCAGGUGGGGGGAAUGGCAGGAACAAAAGUUGCAACAGGUGUGGCAGAGAGACUCGUAGCUGCUGCCAACCCCUCCAGAACGCAGAGGCCAAAGAGCCAAAGACCACAGCACUUACACUGCAGGGACUUGACCAGAGCAUCCUCAGGAGUGAUAGGGAUGAAGGCCAAACCAGCUUCAUAAUCAGCCUCAGCCUUCCUGCAAAUGCUUUGACAUCCACUCUCCAGGGGAAGAGAAGGCCCAGGGAGCAGUCUGAUCCAGGUGCUGCCAGGAUGCUGGCACAGCUGGGGACACCCAGGCAUUCUAUUUGCGUAAGGACUCACCAGGCCUCCAGGGAUACAACCUGGUAAUGACUUCAGAACUGACAGCCUGGGGUAGAUGCUGCAGACUGCUUUCUACAGAAGAUAAAAUGCAGGGCUGGAGAGGCCAUCAGAAGUGAUCCCACAUGCAGACCCGCAGGAAAGAAGUUGGGAGACAAAGGCUUGGACCCAGUACAUCUUGGACUGGAAGAGCUGAAUGCCUGGAUUCUACCAGGAGUGACUGAUGAGUGCUACAUUUUACAGCCAGGAAUAUCGUAUGCCUGCCUUAUCUAGCUUCCUUGGAGCCUCUGACAUCCUGGAAUUAGUUUCUACUGCAGCAGGAAGUAGAUAAUAUCCUCCUGGUCAGGCUGGGAACUUCUCAGUCCUCUAAGUUGGUGCUUGAGUGUUCAGCAAGCCCAGGCUUGAGUCUGACACUUCCCUGAUUCUCCUCCCUGUCUAAACUCCUAACAGUGACUUUCAAGGUAUUUCACGAACUGACCUGUUUCCACCUUCCCAUGUUCAUCGCCAUCUCUUCCCACUAACCAGUGAUACUGUAGUUUCUCAUUCUCCCUGAGAAAGCCAUGUUCUUUCACACCCCUGUAUGUUUUUGCACAUGCUUUUGUAUAGAAAGACGUUUCUCCGCCCGUCAAACUUCUACUCAUCCUUCGGGACCCUACUCUAAUAC